rnacentral:lncRNA from 1 species
CAGUGCCCACUUUGUUCACCUCUGCUCACUGGGGGAGCCAGGACCCGGAUCCAGGUUUUCUGACUCCAGGUCUCAGGCUUGCUCCAUAGCGCCACCUGCUGGUGACGGCAAUCGGUAGGCACCCAAAUCAAGUCUCAGAUUUCCUCAUCUCAGAAGUUGUCAGCUUCUCCGACCUCCACGGUAACUCGGAACCACACUGUGGAGUUAUCCCUGUGUCCUCUUUCUCGGAAGUUCCACAUCCAACCCCUCAGCAGGUCUCAGCGGCACUCUCACCACCUCCUCUGCUCUGUUCCUGUUUCUCUUGGAUGGCCGAAUGUUUCCUAAGGGGUGCCUGCUGCUUCACGCUUGCCCCCUGGAGUGGCAUCUAAAAGGAUACCCUACAACUAACAGACAUGAUGCCAUCAAGACAUCUUGAGCUUGGCUACCUCUCGUGGCCUGUAUUUUGUCCACAGGAAACUCGCGCAGUCUUACUACAGCAAAUUGAGGUGGUAUGGGGUGCCUGCUGCUGUCUCUCUCCUCACCUUUCCACAGAGGGCUGCCCCAGCCUGACCCCCACUUCCAGAGUUUCUCCAGCCAGGAGAAUCCUGAAAUCUCUGUAAAUAAGCAAUCCAGGAGCCAGAGAAUCAUGGGAUCUCAUACAAACAAAUCAUCCAGGAAAAACACAACCAGAGUCUCCUUUCGGUAAACCUCCAUGACUGGGGAUCCCCUGCCACCCAGAAAGCAGUUUUGCCUGCCAUGCUUGUCAUCACUGAUUUUUACUGCUGCAGCAGACUCCGUCAGACCCGCCUGCUUCUUCAGCGA